rnacentral:lncRNA from 1 species
UUUUUGCUUGAUAAGUUAUAAAAAAUCUAAAUAUUAGAGUUAUAAAUUUCGAGUAUAUAUAUAUAUAUAUAUAGAGAGAGAGAGAGAGAGAGAUUUGCUAGAAUACUAUCGGUAGUAAACGGCUCGGUUUACUAUCGAUUUGUUUUCGAUGAUAGAGCUUCCAAAUUGAUGAUCGGCACCGUUAAAUAUGAUCUAAACUAUUUAAACUAUAUGAAAAUCAAAUUUCACACAUUUUCGAUAUUGUUCUCUUGUCCAUUAAGUGAACAGAAAAAUGAAUGGCUGGAAAUGAAUAUCCUUCAAAAAGUGAUGAUACAAUUUUUAUAUUUGAAAUCUAGAGUCUAGAUCUUAUUUUAAAUAGUUUAAAGAAUUUUUUAACAAAAAUUUAGUUGAUUUGAACUCUUCUAUACCGUUAAACGAGCAAACGCACCAUAUCGGCCAUUAAAAUUAUAGAUUUUGUGACUCUUUGAUCGUUCAGUUAGUGAUGUAAAAAAAUCAUGAAAUUUGAUUUCUAAAUAAUUUAAAGUUUGACUGGACUACUAUCGGUAGUAAACUGCUCGGUUUACUACCGAUUUGUUUUUUAUGAUAGAGCUUCCAAUCGACGAUCGGCACCAUUGAAGAUAAUCUAGACCAUUUAAAUUAUUUAGAAAUCAAAUUUCAUGAUUUUUUUUGCAUUACUAACUGAACGAUCAAAGGGUCACAAAAUCUAUAAUUUUAAUGGUCGAUAUGGUGCGUUUGCUCAUUUAACGGUAUAGAAGAGUUCAAAUCAACUAAAUUUUUGUUAAAAAUUUUUUUAAACUAUUUAAAAUAAGAUCUAGACUCUAGAUCUCAAAUAUAAAAGUUGUAUCAUCACUUUUUGAAGGAUAUUCAUCUCCAGUCAUUUAUUUUUCUGUUCACUUGAUGGAUAAGAGAACAAUAUUGAAAAUGUGUGAAAUUUGAUUUUCAUAUAGUUUAAAUAGUUUAGAUCAUGUUUAACGAUGCCGAUCAUCAAUUUGGAAACUCUAUCAUCAAAAAUAAAUCGGUAGUAAACCGAACCGUUUACUACCGAUAGUAUUCUAGCAAAACUAUAUAUAUAUAUAUAUAUAUAGAGUAAGNUUACGAUUAGGUUGAUAGUGGACCCCCUAGGGUUGAGUGGGUGGUUGGUUGAAUAGUAUAAUUUAACGAGUAAAAAUAAUUAAAGAGUGAAUCAAACGACUAAAAAGUUAUGAGUACAAGAAGUUCUAUACUCAUAAGAGUAUAGUGGCCGAACUAUAUAUAUAUAUAUAUAUAUAUAUAUAUAUAUAUAUAAUUGAGCUAGAAUACUUUUAGAAACACCAAUUCAUUGGUGCUUCUAAGUUUCUGAUUAUUGGAUCUACUUCUUGAUUACUAAUAGCAUUUGGAUCAAAUACUAUUCCACCUACCACCAUCUAUCCCACCUACCACCAUCAUCUUAACUUUACAUCUCUCCAUCCAAGGACUACAAACUCAAAAGCAUCAACCCAUUAAUACUUUUGGGAGUAUUCUACGGUUCUACCUCUAC